rnacentral:pre_miRNA from 1 species
CCCUGAGCAGCGCUUUCGAGGACUGUCCAACCUGAGAAUGCUGAAUUCUGGGUCAAUCUCAGGUUCGUCAGCCCAUGAAAGGCUGUUUCCAU